rnacentral:rRNA from 1 species
UUGCAUCGAUGAAGAACGCAGCGAAACGCGAUAGGUAAUGUGAAUUGCAGAAUUCCGUGAAUCAUCGAAUCUUUGAACGCACCUUGCGCUCCAUGGCAUUCCGUGGAGCAUGCCUGUUUGAGUGCCGCGAAAUCUCCCACCCCUAGCGGUUGCCGCAAGGCGCCGCCGGGCGGCGGGGUUGGUUGGGUGCCGCUGCCUGGGCUUUGGCCCAGGCUCGCCCGAAAUGCAUGAGCGCUUAGCACUCGCACCGUCUCGAGGGAAGGCGGCGGAGCUGGCAUCUGCGCAUGGCAUGAUACGUCAUUUGCUGUGUGGCAGCCCAGCGACCCGAGAGUGUGUGUGCGCUACUACACGCCCUUUCAUUUCUGGUCUCAAAUCAGGUAGGAUCACCCGC